CCUGGCGGCCGUAGCGCGGUGGUCCCACCUGACCCCAUGCCGAACUCAGAAGUGAAACGCCGUAGCGCCGAUGGUAGUGUGGGGUCUCCCCAUGCGAGAGUA
rnacentral:rRNA from 3 species